AUUGAACGCUGGCGGCAGGCCUAACACAUGCAAGUCGAGCGAGCGGCGGACGGGUGAGUAAUGUCUGGGAAACUGCCUGAUGGAGGGGGGUAACUACUGGAAACGGUAGCUAAUACCGCAUACCAUCGGAUGUGCCCAGAUGGGAUUAGCUAGUUGGUGGGGUAAAGGCUACCCUAGGCGACGAGCCCUAGCUGGUCUGAGAGGAUGACCAGCCAAACUGGAACGGAGACACGGUCCAGACUCCUACGGGAGGCAGCAGUGGGGAAUAUUGCACAAUGGGCGCAAGCCUGAUGCAGCCAUGCCGCGUGUAUGAAGAAGGCCUUCGGGUUGUAAAGUACUUUCAGCGGGGAGGCGUUACCCGCAGAAGAAGCACCGGCUAACUCCGUGCCAGCAGCCGCGGUAAUAC
rnacentral:rRNA from 1 species